rnacentral:misc_RNA from 1 species
GAUGAAGAACGUAGCGAAAUGCGAUAAGUAAUGUGAAUUGCAGAAUUCAGUGAAUCAUCGAAUCUUUGAACGCACAUUGCGCCCGCUAGUAUUCUGGCGGGCAUGCCUGUCCGAGCGUCAUUUCAACCCUCAAGCCCCCGGGCUUGGUGUUGGGGAUCGGCGAGCCUCCGCGCCCGCCGUCCCCUAAAUCUAGUGGCGGUCUCGCUGUAGCUUCCUCUGCGUAGUAGCACACCUCGCACUGGGAAACAGCGCGGCCACGCCGUUAAACCCCCAACUUCUGAACGUUUGACCUCGGAUCAGGUAGGAAUACCCGCUGAACUUAAGCAUAUCAAUAAGCGGAG